rnacentral:tRNA from 1 species
GUGGGUGUAGCUCAGUAGUAGAGCAUUUGCCUAGCAUGCUCACGGCCCUGGGUUCAACCUCCAGCUCUCUCA